rnacentral:rRNA from 1 species
UUGGAGGGCAAGUCUGGUGCCAGCAGCCGCGGUAGUUCCAGCUCCAAUAGCGUAUAUUAAAGUUGCUGCAGUUAAAAAGCUCGUAGUUGAAUUUCGGGACCAUCAUGUCGGUCGUGCCUCGGUACGUACUGGUAUUGUUGGUUUCUCCCUUCUGACGAACCAUGAUGUCAUUAAUUUGGUGUUGUGGGGAAUCAGGACUGUUACUUUGAAAAAAUUAGAGUGUUUAAAGCAGGCUCACGCUUGAAUACAUUAGCAUGGAAUAAUGAAAUAGGACGUUUGAUUCUAUUUUGUUGGUUUCUAGGAUCGACGUAAUGAUUAAUAGGGAUAGUUGGGGGCAUUAGUAUUCAAUUGUCAGAGGUGAAAUUCUUGGAUUUAUUGAAGACUAACUACUGCGAAAGCAUUUGCCAAGGAUGUUUUCAUUAAUCAAGAACGAAAGUUAGGGGAUCGAAGACGAUCAGAUACCGUCGUAGUCUUAACCAUAAACUAUGCCGACUAGGGAUCGGAUGAUGUUAAUUUUUUAAUGACACAUUCGGCGCCUUACGGGAAACCAAAGUGUUUGGGUUC